AGACCCAGAUUGUACUGUUGGCUAUAUUGAGGAUGCAGCAGAGGAUACCCCUUCAGCAGGCAGCAGGGUCACAUUAGGUACGCAGGGAAACGCGGCAUAAUAAAACACCUUGUGGAGCAGUGCUGUGCUGAGAAGAGCUCGGCUGGCCAAUACUCGGGAGAUGGCUCGGAGGCCCAUCCCAGAAGUGCUCCGGCUGGCCAAGAGGAGUCUCCUCGCAGCAGGUGUCAGUCUGGCACUGUGCUAUCCGCCCAGCAGUCGGGUGUCCUCGCCAGCCCCGGGAGCUGCCUCUUCAUCGGCUUCCUAAUUAACAAAGAACCGAUACCGGCGCUGGGGAUCUCAUCCCGGCAGUGCCGUCUCUUGCAGACCUGUAGCAGUGCCCAUCAGGUGAGAACGUUUUGGCUGCUGUACGGUUUAAAAUGUCCUAGCCCUGUGGAGGAUGCUCAAGAGAAAUAGGAGCUGGACUGGGAAUGCCACAGGACUUCUAUCGUGUCAUUUACAUCUCUCAGGGUUUCAACGCUCCAUGUCUGAGGCUAGAAAACCCCAUAUAUGACUGUCAAACGUUUACAUAAUUCGCUUCAUGCAGAGGAGUAUCAAAGAGAGUUUUGUGGUAGCUGGCUCUAUCUCCCAUUCUUAUGUCUUCUGCUUCCCACAGGUCAUUCUUGUGGAGGAACAUCCCAGCUCACACAGCAGAGCCGUUGUGGAUUUUUAAGGUUGUUUAGAUGCGCGCAUGGUCUUGUUAGGGCUGGCGUAAAGUCGCAUUCUUAACGACGGAAGGAGUCUUUACCUGACUCGUGGCAACUUCUGUGGGGAGCAAUUGAAAUGUGUUUGGUUUGUUAAUUUAUUCCAGUUUACGACAUGUUACUUUUUGAUAAAAAA